ACCUAUACAUUUGCUCUCAAAAAACAAAAUGAACGCUAUGAAUAUCUAAAGGAAAUUUCUAAAGACUCUAUGCCAGUUAGAACAAUUUAGCAAAAUAAAAAAGAAAUGAAAUAAUACUUAAAAGAAAAUUUAAAGCAAAUCUAUAUUUACAAAUAUAGCGGAAAAGAAAGCCCAUACCAAAAACUAUCAUCAGAGUGGAAAAAAUGUAUUCACAAUUGAAUAACGACUCCAAUUAUUUGGAAAAAAAAUGUAAUAUACAUUUUUUAAGUUCUUUAGAAAUAAAAGAAAAUAAUUAGGGACUAAUUUCCUUUAGUAUAUUUAUUUCAGAUUUAGGCUCACCUUUUAUAUAAAUGAUUUUGUACUAGCUUUAAUCAUUAGAAGUAUUAUAGAAAAUAUAAUAAAAAUGCUGUAGUAGUCGAGAAAAAACAGAUAUUACUAGGUUUUUGUAAUGAACUAAUUUCUGUAGUGGAAACAUGUCAGCUUCUAUAGUUCCCCCCAAAAUUCAUGCUCAUAUCAUAGGGUUUAUAUCUCUGAAUUAUGAGGCCAUAAUACACAUCUUCACAUUUAUUGUAUACUGUUGGCAUGAAUCAGCAUGUUAUACAAAAAAAUUGUACUUUGGUUCUUACUAUUGUCUUGGCACAUGUGGAAAAGAGCCUUCUUGGGUCAUGAUAAAUAAUAAUUAACUAGUGGAAGAUUAAGGGUAUUUUAGAGAGUGGUUCUUGAACUUGACAAUGAAUGCAAAUUGCCAAGAGAUUUUUUUAAAAUCCAAAUUGUGAUAUGAGGUUCUGGGAGUCUGCAUUUCUGAGCUGCACUCAGGCUUUAGAACUCGGUUGCUAUUGACCUUUUUUUAAAAAUCAUUAAAAUUGUUUAGUUAAAUACACAAAAUUGCACAUUGCCUCAUUUUAAGACAGUCAUCUGAUAUAUAUGUCAGAAAUGGAAGUAACACAUAGAGGAGAAAGCAGUAACCAAAACACUUUGCCUUUCUGUAAUUCUAGCUUUAUGUACAUCGCUGAUAUUCUUCCCCGAAGCUAGAGAACACCUUACCUAGAAUGAACCCAUAACAGUAAGUGACAUUAAUGAAGUUAAGCAUGAAGCCUCCACAUUACAGACUAUUAGCUUGGUCUUUUGAUGUUAGCCGCUAUCACCUUCUCCAAAUAUCUCUGGCAAACAGGAUUUGGUACUAUCCUGUUUGCCAGAGACUUGGAUUUGAAACUUUGGCUAUCAUUGCAUAAUAUAAUGUCAAUUUUGCCAUCAAAUUUCAGAUUUAUAUUUACAAAAUGGUUUUGAAUCUAAUAGUUUUUUCAGUUCAGGUUGGCACUUGCAUUCCUCAGUCCUAUUACAUGUAUUAUACCCUGGAACUCUGAAAAGUCAUAUUCAAUUUCAUGAAUUUCUACAGUUGUACACAAUUCGUAAUAUGUACAAACUGUUGUGGUGAUCAAUGGUUUUGUAUCCUUUCCAUGGUUAUAUACAAAAUAUUGGAGACUGCGUAAUUCCUGCAAUAAUAUUUCCCUGUAUUUGAUAAUGGAUCAGAUUCUGUGUCAUCCCCACUGAAAGAAUCAAAAGAAUACUACGUCAAAAUGGCUGCAGAUACUAAAGAAAGCCUGAAGUGUUAUAUAUACACUCAGAAAAAUAUGGAUUAUGGAGUAGAGCAGAAAGCAAAUUAUAGGGACUCACUUACUGAUUGUAAUUGCUAGCCCUUCAACAAUUCAACCAUCAUUUUCAUAUUUAGGAAAGUGCAAAAAUAGCAAAGACAAACGUCCAUGUAAAUAAGUCUUCUUUCUUCCUUGUCCUUGAUUUAUCUUUUCACGACAUGUGAAGCCCUGAGCAAGGCAUCAUCCUUAUUCAAUGUGCUAAGAUCUUUUUUUAGCAUGGAAUAGAAGAGUACAAUUGUAACAGAAUGCAGGAACACACAAUGCCAAAUGUGAUCCAAGCCAUGAUCACUUUAAAUUAAAUGACCCCGGGAAACCACAGGCACUGUCUACAGAACAUCAAAGUAAUUUCUCGUGAAAACUUUAUGCACACAUUGCCAGGAACAGAUAUACGGAAGAUCUCUCCAACUGCUUGCUACGAAUGAAAAAUCUCCGACCUCAGGUAACAGACCUGAGGCGCUAAAGGUGAAUGUUUCAGCUAGGAGGACAGUGGAGGUAUGUGGAAGAAGACAAUAAAUGUAAUAGAAUGGAAACUCUCAAGUGCUGUUUUUAUUCAACAGAAAUGAUGGAGGUAAGUUACUGAAUAUUAUAAAUAGUAUAAUAAUAGAAAGUAGUACAACCUGAAUCAAGGAAGUAAAUUAGAAAUUUAAAAAAAGAAACAGAUUACAGAAUGGGUCCUAAAGUUAACCAAAAAAGGAAAGAAAGAUUUGUUUUCCUAAAGUGACAGCAUAAGAAAAUUAUAUACACAAAUAAUAUGUAGCCAUUUGUGGCUAGAGAUUUAUAUGUAUAUUAUUUUAAAUGUAUGAAUGAUACAAGCCAUGUUUGUUUAUGACUAAAAUAGGCUUAAUUCAAUGAUAGAAGCAUUAGCAUUACACUCCUAGAGAAUUAGGCAAACUUUAUACAAAUCUCAUGAAAACAGAUUCAUUUCCACCACUGACUAUGAUCUGUUUUAGAUUGUGACAUUAUCUGUAUCCCUGUUACAAAAGCUGGUCAAGAGGUGCCAGAAAGGUGGGUACUUUAGUGCUGGAAAAAGCAACCAGAACUUAAUAUUUAAUGCCAUUCCAUCUAAUCUAAACUUUUUUUAGCAAGAUAAAAAAAUACCCUUAGAUCUAGCAAGGAUCAAUACAAAGCCCAGUAUUUAUUUAAGAUAGAAGUUGAUUUUAAUGUUGAAUUAACAGUAUUUUAUGCUGAGUUGAGUUAAAUGUGGAGAAUCUCUUUGUGCUGCAUUUUCCUUCAUUUUAAUUGCCCAAUUAGCUGGGGCUGCCUUGUUCACGCUUAAAGGGAGCCAGCCAGAUCACUUUAGUAAGCAGCACAGUGGUUAGGUCUGGCAGUUUACUCAUGUGUAACUAGAAAGCAAAUUACCCUGCAUUCUUCAUAAGCGAUAUCAUAGGCAAACUGUUAGCUAAAAAUCUGAAAGUCAUGAAUAGAAAAUAUUAAUAUUACGACUGCAUUACCACUUUACUCACUAUUUUGCAUUAUUUUCUCCAUGGACGUUAUGAAAGAAUACACCUCAACAUUAUAGACCACUAAGGUUGGAAAGGAGAAACUAUUUUUAAAAGCCGUUGUGAAAGCUUGCUACCGCCUAUAAAAGGGAAAGUCAAAAUGUGUAAAUAUUUUUAAACUUUACGAAUUUCUGAACCCUUCCAGGCCUGCCUUAACUGCAGUGACUUUCACGCAGAGUACAAAGGGACUCAUGGUCAUAGAUAGUUAUUUCAGAACUUUUCUUAUUGGAGAAACAUCCCUUGCAUAAACAUAUUGCAUUGAAAAAAUUUUGAUUGUUUUAAGGCAUUAUGACACCAUUUACCAUUUUUGACAACCAUUUAUAUUAAAGGGAGUAGAGACCUUUGCCCUUUGGGACUUCAGUGAAUAUGUUUUUAUCAGAUUUUGCAAAAUUCUUAAGUUCUAUAUGCACCCCCGAAGACUCAAA
rnacentral:lncRNA from 1 species